rnacentral:lncRNA from 1 species
CAACCAGCUGUCACACUCACUAUGCUCUGCUUCUUUCAUUUUCAGAAACUAUUCAAGGAAACCGUGCACAAAGGAAUAAAAGAAGAACAAAGGCUAAAGGCACAAUUCAUGUACAGAAUAGCAACAUCAGGUGUUGAGGAAAUGUUGGAGAACUACGCUCAUUGGCUUGAAAUGGUGAAGAGAUUAUUGCCUGAUUCCAAACCACUGAAGGAAAUCAUUAACAUCACAUGAUGAAGAAUUUAAGAACUAUAAUAAACAAGAAGAUGAGUUUGCUGCAAAACUAGAGAGCUGGGUGCGACAAGGAGCUUGUCCUCCAUGAAGUUAUUCAUAUGUAACUUUAUUAAAUUAAUGUGGCACAAUGUUGUAGUAAACAGAGAAUGUCUUUUGCUUUUCUGAUAUUGACCAAUAAUUCAUUAAUGUUCGAUUAUAUUUUUAAACAUUACACAUGUGUAUGUAAUUUGUAUGUAAUUUGUAUGUAACUGUAUCAUGUGAAGAUUUUCUCUUGCGCUUUCUUCAUCAAGCCCUAAAGUUAAAAUAAAUCAGAGCUGAUGCUUCUUGUACAAACUGUAGCAUCCUCCCCCGCCCACUUACAAUGGAAACGAUGACAGUCUUUCUUUGCUUCCUAACUUUUCUUGAACUUGUUCUUGAAAUUAAUUUUGAAGUUUAUGGAUCCUAUAAAAUAUAAAACUGCAAAAAAAUAUGUACAAAGCCAGAUAAAAUAUGUUACCAGGAAAUGUACAGAGGAUGAAUUGAGGGGAAAAUUAAAUCCAAAGACUCUUAAAGCAAUUAAACAAUGAAUAGUGGGAUUUAACAGAAUGUUGUGCAUGGGAUAGGGAUUAGUAAGUAUGUACAUACUUCUUCCUACUCCAUUUCAGACUUAAUAAUUGUAAUUUCAUGUCAUUUAGACUCUAUUUUAUUUAUCUUCUUUUUUGUUGUUGUUUUGUCUGAGCACAUACAUGUGUGUAUUUACAUAUGUAUUUGUACAUGUAAAUGCAAGCAUGUGUACUUGUAUCUAUUGGUUUGUUGUAUAUGUCUGAAAUAAAGAUACAAUAACAAUAACAAUGACUUUUCAUUAAAAAUCCUGAAGGUCAUGGAUUUAAGUGAAACAACCCAGUUUUAAUUCAAGAAAAGAAUUUUUAGUACACUAUGUCAUCAUCACAGAGUCCAUCCAAACCUCCACCUUCAUCUGGGGGUUCCUGUCCAAAUUCUAAUCACUGCUGAGAUUCCAUUACGCUGUGAUGGGGUUUGACUUGACAAAGU